CGGAGUCAUUGACUGAGAUGGGCCGAGGAGGCUGAUGCCACGGAAACUACCGCCGCCGCCGAAACAUGAAAGCCUUGCCGCCCGCUCGAUUAAACCCGAAUCGACGGGGAAAUGAGAGACCGGGAGUGAAGAAGGCCUCCACCAUUGAAGCUGAAAGAAUUGGGGAUGAAGUCAAUGGAGUCACGAAGCCGGCCGCGCCAGGACUACGGCUGCUGAUGUGAUCUCCAUGGCUCUCCUCCAACCCGAACUGGUUGUUCUCUUUCGCCUCCAUCUCCGCCUCCCAAACCUCGACGGCUGUCAGCUUCAAAACGAGCACCCAAAUCGGUGAUCCUUGCAUGCUAUGAUGAACAAUCAGAAGCCAGAAAGCAUGUGCAAACCCAGAGAUAGGAGAUAGGAGAAGGAAACCCUCAAGAGGCACGAAAACCCAUGACAUUUAAGAAGCCAUCGAUUCAGAUGUCGGCAAUAUCAGAAACUUACGGAAAAA